CAUUGUUGGAGAGUUUGAUCCUGGCUCAGGACGAACGCUGGCGGCGUGCUUAACACAUGCAAGUCGAACGAUGAAGCCUUUCGGGGUGGAUUAGUGGCGAACGGGUGAGUAACACGUGGGCAAUCUGCCCUGUACUUUGGGAUAAGCCUGGGAAACUGGGUCUAAUACCGGAUAUGACUUUUGCAGGCAUCUGUGGAAGUGGAAAGCUCCGGCGGUACAGGAUGAGCCCGCGGCCUAUCAGCUUGUUGGUGGGGUAAUGGCCUACCAAGGCGACGACGGGUAGCCGGCCUGAGAGGGUGACCG
rnacentral:rRNA from 1 species